rnacentral:sRNA from 1 species
GCCGGGCAUGGUGGCUCACGCCUAUAAUCUCAGCGACUCGGGAGGCAGAGACGGGAGGAUUGUGAGUUCAGAGCCAGUCUCAGCAAUUUAGCGAGGCACUUAGCAAAUCAGUGAGACCCUGUCUCUA